AAAAAGAGCCAGGACCUAGACAGAUAGGGAACCUGGGCAACAGAAGACCAAUGUACUUAACAGAAUUAAGUGAGUUGGGAUACCGAGCCUCAGCUAAAAAGGCCCAGCUGUGUCAGACUGAAGUUACUUAUUUGAGAUACACCCUUCGAGAUGGGAAGCAGUGGCUAAAGGAAUCCAGAAAAAACAAAGACUGUAACUCAGAUCCCCACCCCAACUACACCAAGGCAAGUAAGAGAAUUCUUGGACACCGCUGGCUUCUGGGGGCUCUGGAUACCUGGGUUUUGUGACCUUAGCUGCCCCAUUGUACCCACUAACCAAGGAAGGGGAGGUGUUUGUGUGGACUCCAGAUCACCAGAAAGCCUUUGAAGAAGUUAGAACCUGUUGCCAGCGGGUGGUUUUUUGCCUAAAAGCUAUUGCUGUCAUAGUUCUACUUGUCAAGGAUGCUGAUAAGCUCACUCUGGGACAGUAAAUAACUGUAGUGGCACCCCACACUCUUGAAAGCAACCAACAGCCCCCUGACCGAUGAAUGACCUCGUAUGACACAUUAUCAGAGCCUUUUGUUGACUGAAUGAGUGACCUUCGCUCCCCCUGCUGUCCUCAAACCCUUUACCCUACUGCCCAAGACUGCUCACUCUUCACCUACUCAUCCCUACGCUGACAUCUGGCAGAGGAAGCUGGUACUCAAAUGAUCUGAAGGAUCAGCCUUGGCCUGGGAGUCAGAGCUGAUACAAGAAUGGCAGUAGCUUCGUAGUUGAAGGUAAGCUGAAGGCGGGGGCAGCAGUGGUGGACAGAAAGCAAGUGAUCUAGGCCAGCAGCCUCCCUGAAGGGACUUCAGCCCAGAAAGCCAAACUUGUGGCUUUGAUACAAGCUCUACGAAUGGCAAACAGGAAGUCUAUCAACAUUUACACUGACAGCAGGUAUACUUUUGCCAGGGCACGGAGCAAUAUACAGACAAAGGGGGCUGUUGACAUCUGCAGAGAAAGGCCUAAGAUGCUAUGGCUAAAGGGAAUCAGAUGACAGACCUAACCACCAAGCAGGCAGCCCAGAGUGUUAACCUUCUGCCUGUAGCAGAAAAGUCCAAAACCCAGGACCCAAGCGGCAGUACACCCUGGAAGACUGGCAAGAAAUAAAAAGAUAGACCAGUUCUCUGGGGUCCAAGAGGGGACUUGCUAAACCUAAGAAGGGAAGGAGAUCCUACCCUACAAAAAGGACUAGAAUAUGUCCAACAGAUGGAUCGUCCAACCCACCUAAGAGCUAAACAUCUGCAGAGACUGGUUAGAACAUCCCCUUAUCAUGUUCUGAGAUUACCAGGAGUGGCUGACUCGGUCGUCAAACUUUGUGUGCCUUGCCAGCUGGUUAAUGCUCAUCCUUCCAGAAUGCCUCCUGAGAGAAGACUGAGGGGAAGCCAGCCAAGUAUGGUAACAAGUACUUAUUAGUGUUUGNAGACACCUUUUCAAGCUGAGUAGAAGCUUUUCCUACCAUGACUGAGAUGGCCAAUGUGAUGACCAAAAAGAUCCUAGAAGAAAUCUUCCCAAGAUUGGAGAUACCCAAGGUAAUCGGGUCUGAUAAUGGACCUGCCUUUGUUGCCCAGGACACUCGUAACCAUGACUUCACUGCUGAAUUGCCAUCACACCGGUUCCUCUGACAGCCUCAAAAAGAUAUCAUCAAAUCUUUGUCACAUAAAACAGUAGAAAGAGCUGCAGCUGGAGCGUGGUGAGAUGUCUUCUUGUAGUGAGUCUGAACUUGAGCAAUUAUGAAAGUCUGUGGGACCACGAAAGGCAGCUUGGUCCCUGGUUGAGCUAAGGCUUGAAACCCCAGAGACCUUGAAGGGAUGGUAGGCGUUUCACCUGUUCCUGGACACCAGGCCCCUGUCACAAGCCGCAGCCCUCAAUAGAUUUGUGGUCAUCGGUCACAUACAGCCAUGACAAUAAACGCCUUAAAACCAUGGACUUCCUCGGACUUCACCUAUAGAGCAGCUGUCUAGUCUCCUGUAGUACACCUCUCUGUGCUCCCAGCCAUGACUGCCACCAAGCCAAGCCCAAGCCAACUGGCGUCAAGCCAAGGACUCUCCUGAGGGACAAGCUGGACAAGCUGGAGCUCCCCCACCCCACCCCGCCCCGCCCCGGCCAGAUCCAGCCCUAGGGGUCCCCACUCUGUUCUGACCUCUUCCUCAGCAUCCAGUGGUGCCUAGAUGUCCAAGAGCCUGAGAACCAGAUGUCUGAGGACUUCGAAGGCCCAGAGAUGCCCCCCAGCUACCUCUGUCUGUUCUAUACCCCAGACUGUGCUUACCCACCCCUGGAGUGGUGUCUUGGGGCCUCCCUACAGGAUAAGCACGUUCUACUUCCAGCAUCCUGCCUCCCCAAGCAGCCAAGCCCUGUGUAGUGAAACAGACAUGGGACCUAUAACCCUACAAAAGUUUAAUUGUGACACUUUGUAGACUUUAUUUUUUAUUUAGUCUAUACCCUAUUACACACACACACGC